GACGAACGCUGGCGGCGUGCUUAACACAUGCAAGUCGAACGGAAAGGCCCUGCUUUUGUGGGGUGCUCGAGUGGCGAACGGGUGAGUAACACGUGAGUAACCUGCCCUUGACUUUGGGAUAACUUCAGGAAACUGGGGCUAAUACCGGAUAGGAGCUCCUGCUGCAUGGUGGGGGUUGGAAAGUUUCGGCGGUUGGGGAUGGACUCGCGGCUUAUCAGCUUGUUGGUGGGGUAGUGGCUUACCAAGGCUUUGACGGGUAGCCGGCCUGAGAGGGUGACCGGCCACAUUAGGACUGAGAUACGGCCCAGACUCCUACGGGAGGAAGCAGUGGGGAAUAUUGCACAAUGGGCGGAAGCCUGAUGCAGCAACGCCGCGUGCGGGAUGACGGCCUUCGGGGUGUAAACCGCUUUCGCCUGUGACGAAGCGUGAGUGACGGUAAUGGGUAAAGAAGCACCGGCUAACUACGUG
rnacentral:rRNA from 1 species